rnacentral:rRNA from 1 species
AUUGAACGCUGGCGGCAGGCCUAACACAUGCAAGUCGAACGGUAACAGGAAGAAGCUUGCUUCUUUGCUGACGAGUGGCGGACGGGUGAGUAAUGUCUGGGAAACUGCCUGAUGGAGGGGGAUAACUACUGGAAACGGUAGCUAAUACCGCAUAACGUCGCAAGACCAAAGAGGGGGACCUUCGGGCCUCUUGCCAUCGGAUGUGCCCAGAUGGGAUUAGCUAGUAGGUGGGGUAACGGCUCACCUAGGCGACGAUCCCUAGCUGGUCUGAGAGGAUGACCAGCCACACUGGAACUGAGACACGGUCCAGACUCCUACGGGAGGCAGCAGUGGGGAAUAUUGCACAAUGGGCGCAAGCCUGAUGCAGCCAUGCCGCGUGUAUGAAGAAGGCCUUCGGGUUGUAAAGUACUUUCAGCGGGAAGGAAGGGAGUAAAGUUAAUACCUUUGCUCAUUGACGUUACCCGCAGAAGAAGCACCGGCUAACUCCGUG